CGUCACCUUUUAUAUAACAUCUGGCAGUGACUUUUAUUUCAGAGCUAAUUUGAAGAAGCCAGGCGCUUUUCUCUUCCCCUCCCCAAGACUGCCUUUAUCUGAAAGAAGAAAGAAAAGAACUGUUACAUUUUGCAUGCAAAGAAAGCCAGAGUGGCUAGAUUACUCCCUUAGGGUAAUGGAGAAAGGAAAAAGAAAUUGAAAAAGGUCAGGUGAACAAAGCAGAAGGAAUGAAGAGGUUUGUGUGAUUCUUAGUGAAAUUGGACCAGUCUAAGCAACCAGACAGGAAUGGCUGACAGGCGUUGGGCCCCUCUCUCUCCGUGUGGUUCUAGGGCAUCUCUACGUAUUCUUUUCAGAAGGGCAUUUGGAUUUUUACAUAGUAGCUGGCUUAGGACUCUGCCAGUUCUCUUAGAGUCCAGCACAAGGAACCUGCCCUAAACUGUACCUUAUGUGAUGGGCACCCACUGAUUGGACCAGAGUCAACCACCUGACCCAAGGGCAACCAUUUCCUAGGCUGGCGACUGGCUUGUGUGGUGGUCUGGCAGGAAAAGCUCUGACCAAUGGGAGGUAAGUAGUUAUUUUAGUAAACAGACUCUCUUGCUUUCUCUCAUUUGAGCUGAGAAAAUGGAGAGAAUCAGCUGGCUGGGUUUGGGGUUUGGGGUUGGUGACAGUGGGGGUGCAUAGGUAGAGAAAGAAGCCAUACAUAUUGCCAUGUGUAACUGAACAGUGAACCCUCAUUACCUGAGGUAGCCUAAGCGAAUU